AGGACGAACGCUGGCGGCGUGCUUAACACAUGCAAGUCGAACGGAAAGGCCCGCUUGCGGGUACUCGAGUGGCGAACGGGUGAGUAACACGUGGGCAACCUGCCCUCAGCUCUGGGAUAACUCCGGGAAACCGGUGCUAAUACUGGAUAUCGACUUCUGCCUCGCAUGGGGUGUUGUUGAAAGUUUUUCGGCUGGGGAUGGGCCCGCGGCCUAUCAGCUUGUUGGUGGGGUGAUGGCCUACCAAGGCGACGACGGGUAGCCGGCCUGAGAGGGCGACCGGCCACACUGGGACUGAGACACGGCCCAGACUCCUACGGGAGGCAGCAGUGGGGAAUAUUGCGCAAUGGGCGGAAGCCUGACGCAGCGACGCCGCGUGAGGGAUGACGGCCUUCGGGUUGUAAACCUCUUUCAGCUCUGACGAAGCGAGAGUGACGGUAGGAGCAGAAGAAGCACCGGCCAACUACGUGCCAGCAGCCGC
rnacentral:rRNA from 1 species